rnacentral:lncRNA from 1 species
AACUGCAAAUAAACUGAGCUUUUACCCUACAUGCAAGCUAACACAGAGGAUGCAAGGCUUGUGCCUCAGAACCAUCAGCUAGCCUAAUAAAGAAGAAAAGAGAGAAGAAUCAAACUGACACAAUAACAAAUAAAUUCUAUGCCUUUGCAUCCUUGUAACUUAGCUCCCACUUAUGAGUGAAAACAUACAAGAAUGGCCAUAAUCAAAACAUCAGAAACAUACAGAGAAGGGAAUUCUCAGUAAUGAUGUCAGCCUAUCCAAUUUGACACAUUACAAACCACUCCAAUGAUCAUAUUAAAAGUUAUCUUGAACUUAUUAAAGCAAAAUUUGGAGGUGCCACAGAAAUGUUUUGUAUAAGAUUUGAAGUGAAAGUGAAGCAUCAGCCAUGAUGUUUGCACACUUGGAAGGUCAGUACAUGGUCACCAAGUGCUAUUACAGAACAUACGUGUUGUGACACAUCUCCAGGCUCACCUCCAUUUCACAGCAGAGUCUGCAA